rnacentral:lncRNA from 1 species
AUUUUAUGCUGGGUUCAGCUGAGCAGUUUUCUGCCAGUCAUAGGUGUCUCUGCUGGGCUCUCCCAUGCUCUGCCAGGAAAGCUGGGGGCUGGCUCUCUCACAUCACUGGAGCCUUGGCUGGGACAGUUCAUCCCUGCUCCAUGGGGUCUCUCAUUAUCCAGGAGGCUAGCCUGGGCUUCUUCACACAGCCAUCUCAGGGUCCAAAGAACAGCAAGAGAAGACAAGGAGAUUUCGGGCAAUACUGCAUUCACUACAGACAAGUCUGCUUCUGGAGAGACAUGCUACUGAUAGCAAAGAAGGAAGAACAGAAAAGAAAACCAAAAGAGCAGAAUCACCAGAAAAAUCUGCUGAAAACUCAGAUUCUUGGGCCCAACUCAUACCAACUGAAUCAGAAUCUCAGAAAGUGCCUGACAAAAAAGUGGGUCAUAGGAAUGCUCAAAAUGGAAGGAAUCCAGUUACAACCCGGAAGGUAUGAAAGCUGCCCAGCCAGUUUUGGACACCUGCUCCUCAAGCUUCUCCUCAUUCCUCAUCCUAAAGACUCAAGAGGCUCGCAGGAAAUCUCAUAAUAGAGACUUUCAAAUAAUCUACCUAGAAUAUUUUUUGUCAUUUUUAUUUUACUAUUAAUUUGUUAAAGUCUGUUACGCUGUAACUAGUAUUAGGAUGUGCAUGCUCCAAAUUACUUUUGUUUUAUUUUGUUCUUCUUAACCUGAAAUUUUGCUAUAACUACCUUCAUGCACAGUCAAAUCAUUGAGUAAAAUGAUCCAUUUGGCAUACAUUGAUUCAAUAGACUCCUGUGGAAAGACAGCGAGAGAGAAAGGAUAAUGGUUACCAUUUAUUAAUUAUCUACUACAUGGCACAGUCUGUGUAAGUGUUUUAUAUAUAUAUAUAUAUAUAUAUAUAUGAUCUGAUUAAUCUCCACAAAAACUCUGCAAUGAAGGUAUCCUUAUUUUACGGAAAAAAGCCAAGACUUCCCUGUUCC